CCCAACACCAGAGAACUACGAACAAAAGUUUAAAACUCAAAGGACUUGGCGGUAUUUUAGACCUACCUGGAGGAGCUUGCCACCUAACCGAUAACCCACGAAAAACCUUACCAGCCUUAGCAACCAAACCAACCUGUAUACCAUCGUCGUCAGUCUACUCCACAAGGAAAGUAUACAAAAAGAAUUACCUUCACUACGUCAGAUCGAGGUGCAGUUUAUAGGCUGGGGGUGAGUGAGCUACAAUAUUAUAACAAAUAAAAUACAAUUACAGACAACUAAAUGAAAAAUAAGUUUGAAGUCGGAUUCAGCAGUAAUGUCUAACAGAAAAUAUACAUGAAAAACUACCUAGCU
rnacentral:rRNA from 1 species